CUUAAAGUUAGGGAUCUGCCCUAUUUGGUUGCACACUAGCAUAGACAAAAACCUAUUGAGUGCUACAAUAACCUAUUUAAUUGUACGGUUCUACGAAAAAAAACAAUAAAAAAAGUCGAGCUUUCCCUGUCUACAAGCAAAGAUUAGCCGAAGAAAUUAUUGAAAAAUACUUAGCAAACGUAAGAGUAAGAGAAGCAUCAUCUAUCAAUGAUUCAUUAACGCGAUAUUCUGGCCUGUAUUUUCCUAUACGGUUACCUCCAAUACUAAAAACUAUAACUAUAUGCUUAUCUAUGUUAGUUCGAAAAGAAACAGUUUUUAAAUGCGAUGUUUGCGAUGUAGUAUUAUGUAUGGAUCGUUUUAAAAAAUACCAUGUUAAAUAAACUCUAAGAACUAUUCGGAAGUCAUUUACUUUAGAAGUUAACAAAAAUAAUAAAACUCCCGAUAUACAACAGCACGCGGUGAUACGGGCCAACCGUCAGUUGAACGACGCUGAUGUCUGAACAGAGUAACUUAAGUAGAAUCAUGAUUCAAAUGAGUUACAAAACCGAUAAAAAUAAAAAAGCCAAUUGACUAUAAGCAAGAUGUAAGGACAUGAAAACGUAACGACAUAUAUAUGUAACAACGAAAUUAAUCACGCUUUUUAUCCAUCUUUCAUUCAUUACUGACUCAAAAUUAUUAAUUUUAUGAAUUUUGAUUUUUUAAAAUUCGAAGAAUUAUAUUAAAAUGAACAUUUCAUAUUAUAUUAAAAACAAAUGAUAUUUCUCAUUUGGUAUCCAGUGAAAGAAUGACGAAAAAAUAGGUGGAAGACUGUGAAAGAUGAAACGAAAAUACGGAAUUUUUCAACGAAAAUUUAAAAAAUAGCCAAUCAGAACUUCCUACCAAAAAAAUUAUUUUUAAAAUUAUAGUAAAUCAUGUCAAUAUUGGUUACGAAAAUUUCAUUUCAGAAGAAAAUCGAAAAUUUUUACGAAAAUUUAACAUAUCUGAAUUUUUUACGGGAAAGAUACGGGAGCUUAGGAGAACGAUGGCACAUAUAAAACUAGGGUUAGAAAUAGUGCAAAAUAUCAGAAUAUAACAAUUUAUUAACAUAGAACAAAGAGAAUAAACAAUACAUUUACAAAUAUUAGAUAUACUUAAUAUGUAUGUGUAUCUCUAUACCAAUAAACCAUCCUAUAAAGGGAAACCAUCCAAAACGUUUGAGUGAGACACUUGUAUUAUUCAAAUGUGCGAAUUUUCCUCAACUUUAACGGAAAGCUUUCCUUCGAAUGCUCCUAGAAUCAUUGUACGAAUUGAUUCUUCAGAAACGACUGUUCUCUGGGCUGACGUCAUAGUGAUCGUUUUGCCUUACCUUACGAAUAUGAAAGUUUCCGCGGUCAGCAAGAAUCGGUAUUAGUACGUACUGAGGAAAAAGAAUAUGUGGUUACAUCCCGACGAUGAAAAAAUAUUCAUGCCAGUACAAUUAACAUGCCAAGUGCCAAGAAUUAAUAUUAAAUCUAAAACAUUAUCGUGUAUAAAAAAUA
rnacentral:lncRNA from 1 species